rnacentral:misc_RNA from 1 species
AACGCACAUUGCGCCCGCUAGUAUUCUGGCGGGCAUGCCUGUCUGAGCGUCAUUUCAACCCUCGCUCCCGGCUUCUUGCCGGGAGCGGUGCUGGGGAUCGGCCGCCCGUCACUGGGAGGCCGGCCCUGAAAUAGAGUGGCGACCACGCCGUGUGCUCCUCUGCGUAGUAGUAAAAUCACCUCGCAGGCGGACAGCGGUGCGGCCUGCCGUAAAACCCCCAACUCUUUUAAUGGUUGACCUCAGAUCAGGUAGGAAUACCCGCUGAACUUAA